GACGUAGGUGGCGAGCGUUGUUCGGAAUCACUGGGCAUAAAGCGCGCGUAGGCGGCUGGGUAAGUCAGGUGUGAAAGCCCUCGGCUCAACCGAGGAACUGCGCCUGAUACUGCCCGGCUUGAGGUCCGGAGGGGAGAGUGGAAUUCCCGGUGGAGCGGUGAAAUGCGUAGAGAUCGGGAAGAACGCCGGCGGCGAAAGCGGCCAUCUGGACGGAUACUGACGCUGAGACGCGAAAGCGUGGGGAGCAAACAGG
rnacentral:rRNA from 1 species